CAGUCGAGCGCGAAUAGGGGCAACCCUUAGUAGAGCGGCGCACGGGUGCGUAACACGUGGAUAAUCUGCCUGGAUGCUCGGGAUAACCAGUCGAAAGAUUGGCUAAUACCGGAUAAGCCCACGGUUUCUUCGGAGACUGAGGGAAAAGGUGGCCUCUGUAUACAAGCUAUCACAACCAGAUGAGUCCGCGGCCCAUCAGCUAGUUGGCGGGGUAAUGGCCCACCAAGGCAACGACGGGUAGCUGGUCUGAGAGGACGAUCAGCCACACUGGAACUGAGACACGGUCCAGACUCCUACGGGAGGCAGCAGUGGGGAAUUUUGCGCAAUGGGCGAAAGCCUGACGCAGCAACGCCGCGUGUGUGAUGAAGGUCUUCGGAUUGUAAAGCACUUUCGACCGGGACGAAAACCCGUAGCCCAACACGCUACGGCUUGACGGUACCGGGAGAAGAAGCACCGGCUAACUCUGUGCCAGCAGCCGCGGUAAUACAGAGGGUGCAAGCGUUGUUCGGAAUUAUUGGGCGUAAAGCGCGUGUAGGCGGCGUGACAAGUCGGGUGUGAAAGCCCUCAGCUCAACUGAGGAAGUGCGCCCGAAACUGUCGUGCUUGAGUGCCGGAGAGGGUGG
rnacentral:rRNA from 1 species